AACAAACGCUGGCGGCGUGCCUAAUACAUGCAAGUCGAACGGGGAAAGCUUUCGGGUGAGUACUAGUGGCGCACGGGUGAGUAACGCGUGGAUAAUCUGCCUUAGAGUGGGGGAUAACUAGUCGAAAGAUUAGCUAAUACCGCAUAAGACCACAAGAACUGCGGUUCAAGGGGUCAAAGGUUUUUCGCUCUAAGAUGAGUCCGCGUAAGAUUAGCUAGUUGGUGAGGUAAUGGCUCACCAAGGCGACGAUCUUUAACUGGUCUGAGAGGAUGAUCAGUCAAACUGGAACUGAGACACGGUCCAGACUCCUACGGGAGGCAGCAGUAGGGAAUAUUGCACAAUGGAGGAAACUCUGAUGCAGCGACGCCGCGUGAGUGAUGAAGGCCUUCGGGUCGUAAAGCUCUGUCGCAAGGGAGUAACACAAUGAAUGUACCUUGCAAGAAAGGAUCGGCUAACUUCGUGCCAGCCGCCGCCGUAAAAC
rnacentral:rRNA from 1 species